rnacentral:tRNA from 1 species
GCCGGGUUAGCUCAGCAGGCAGAGCGGCUGACUUGUAAUCAGCAGGCCGUCGGUUCGAUCCCGACACCCGGCU